rnacentral:rRNA from 1 species
UACGUAGGUGACAAGCGUUGUCCGGAUUUACUGGGCGUAAAGAGCGCGCAGGCGGUCGAUCAAGUCGAGUGUGAAAGCCCCCGGCUCAACUGGGGAGGGUCAUUCGAUACUGAUCGACUCGAAGGCAGGAGAGGGAAGUGGAAUUCCCGGUGUAGUGGUGAAAUGCGUAGAUAUCGGGAGGAACACCAGUGGCGAAGGCGACUACCUGGCCUGUUCUUGACGCUGAGGCGCGAAAGCUAGGGGAGCAAACGGG